rnacentral:rRNA from 1 species
UACGGAGGGGGCUAGCGUUGUUCGGAAUUACUGGGCGUAAAGCGUACGUAGGCGGCUUUGUAAGUUAGAGGUGAAAGCCCGGGGCUCAACCCCGGAAUUGCCUUUAAGACUGCAUCGCUUGAACGUCGGAGAGGUGAGUGAAAUUCCGAGUGUAGAGGUGAAAUUCGUAGAUAUUCGGAAGAACACCAGUGGCGAAGGCGGCUCACUGGACGACUGUUGACGCUGAGGUACGAAAGCGUGGGGAGCAAACAGG